rnacentral:rRNA from 1 species
UACAGAGGGGGCAAGCGUUGUUCGGAAUUACUGGGCGUAAAGGGCGCGUAGGUGGCCUUCUAAGUUGAACGUGAAAUCCCUGGGCUCAACCCAGGAACUGCGUCCAAGACUGGGAGGCUUGAAUCCGGGAGAGGGAUGCGGAAUUCCAGGUGUAGCGGUGAAAUGCGCAGAUAUCAGGAGGAACACCGGUGGCGAAGGCGGAUCUCUGGGCCUUACCUGACGCUGAGGCGCGAAAGCUAGGGGAGCGAACAGG